rnacentral:rRNA from 1 species
GUGCCAGCCGCCGCGGUAAUACGUAGGUGGCAAGCGUUGUUCGGAAUUACUGGGCGUAAAGCGCGCGUAGGCGGCUCUUCAAGUCAGGCGUGAAAGCCCCGGGCUUAACUCGGGAACUGCGCUUGAUACUGUCGAGCUAGAGUGUGGAAGGGGCGAUUGGAAUUCCGUGUGUAGCGGUGAAAUGCGUAGAUAUACGGAGGAACACCAGAGGCGAAGGCGGAUCGCUGGGCCAACACUGACGCUGAUGUGCGAAAGCUAGGGGAGCAAACGGGAUUAGAUACCCUCGUAGUCC